rnacentral:rRNA from 1 species
AACGAACGCUGGCGGCAUGCCUAACACAUGCAAGUCGAACGAGACCUUCGGGUCUAGUGGCGCACGGGUGCGUAACGCGUGGGAACCUGCCCUUAGGUUCGGAAGAACUCCCCGAAAGGGGUGCUAAUACCGGAUAAUGUCUUCGGACCAAAGAUUUAUCGCCUUUGGAUGGGCCCGCGUUGGAUUAGCUAGUUGGUAGGGUAAAAGCCUACCAAGGCGACGAUCCAUAGCUGGUCUGAGAGGAUGAUCAGCCACACUGGGACUGAGACACGGCCCAGACUCCUACGGGAGGCAGCAGUGGGGAAUAUUGGACAAUGGGCGAAAGCCUGAUCCAGCAAUGACGCGUGAGUGAUGAAGGCCUUAGGGUUGUAAAGCUCUUUUACCCGGGAUGAUAAUGACAGUACCGGGAGAAUAAGCUCCGGCUAACUCCGUG